UUUGCCACAGCUAAUCUCAUCGAUCAUCUUCCAUGAUUGUGUUGGAGAAGCUUGAUUCAACGACAACUUCUUAGCAAUGUUGUUGUCACUAGAUUCCUUCCUUCCCUCCUUCUUGCUUCAUUUGUCAUCAAUAAUAUCGGGCAUCGACCAUUUCUCCUCCAUUACAAGAGAUGCAAACUCUAAAGCCAAACCUCAACAGAGGUGCUUUUGUCUUCUUUUUUUUCCUAUUAAGCAUUGAUGGUUAAUAAGAAUUCUCCA
rnacentral:lncRNA from 1 species